CCAGCAGGCCGGGUGAUCGCUUCUUCCGUUUCGGCGGGGGGAGAGGAAGGUCCGAGCUCCAAACGGGCAGCGCGCUGGGUAACUCCCAGGCGGGGUAACCCGACGGAAAGUGGCACAGAAACAUACCGCCCUUCCCCGGAAGGGCAAGGGUGAAAUGGUGGGGUAAGAGCCCACCGGCUUCGGUGUGAGCCGGAGGCCGGCUAAACCCCGCGCGGAGCAAGGCCAAAUAGGAGGGUGCUAAGGGUGCCCGGCCCAAACCCUCGGGUUGGCCGCUAGAGGUCCUGCGCAAGCAGGAUCCCAGAUUGAUGAUCGCCGUCCUUCCCCGGAAGGAUACAGAACUCGGCCUACAGGCCUGCUGGACUG
rnacentral:RNase_P_RNA from 1 species